rnacentral:lncRNA from 1 species
GGGGUCAACUCGUUAAUAUACUAAUUUUGGCUUCUUUCUGUUUCUCGUUUGUGGCCAUUCUGAGGUCAACUUUUAUUUAAUAGGAGUUGGCUCGUGAUCUUCAUAGUUCAGCUUGCUAGCAUACUAAUUUUGACUCUCUGCCUUUUAUUUGAGAUGUUCUAGGUCGAUUCAUCUUAUACAAGGGUCGAUUUAUGAAAGUGUGCCAGUCUUUGUUAGUGUGCCAGAGUUGACUUGUGAUUUUUCUAGGAUCAACUCUUGAAAUUGCCCAAAGUUGGAGUCUUCUAUUUUUUCCUGUGGACAUUCAGAAGUCAGCUCGUAGUGUCCCAAGGUUGACUCCUCUUAUACAGAGCUUUAUAAAUUUGAGUUUGAUUCUUCCACAUUGAGAGUGAUGGAUUGAUAUCUUCUUGGUUUUUUAUGAGCAUUCUUGUACAGUCCAAGUAAGUGAUUAGCUAACUUUUACUCAAACAUUUUGUAUUAUCAAAAUCAAACCUUUUAGGUCAACAAUCUUUUCUCUUUUUAUGGUGACAAAACUUUGGAGUAUAAAAAAAAUAGUAUAGGAGAGAAUAACAUCCUUUUUGAUACUAAGUUGAUCUAUACAAUUCACUACUAGUCUUAAUUACUGAAUCAUACAAAAAAAUAGUGCUUGAAUCAUGCAGAAAUAGUGUGAAUUCUCUUUUAAAAAUUUGAUUAUCUCUUAUUACUCUAAUUCUCCCUUUUUAUAAAAGUUCAGUUGCGUGAAUUCUCUUUUAAAAGUUUGAUUAUCUCUUACUACCACAAUUCUCCCUUUUUAUAAAAGUUUAAUUCUCCCCCUUUUUAAAAUUCUUCUUUACUACCAUACUUGAUCUUCCCCUUUUUGUCAUAAUCAAAAAGAGAUGAUGAUGGAAGGUAAGAACUUGAAAGUAAUCAUCAUGCAAGGAGGCAUAUACACAACAUAGAUAAUUUCAUUGCAUUACAUUUUCUGUUGAACUAGUAUAAAAGAAUUUCACCGCACAUCGCUAAGGCCCUGUUUGGGGGAGCUUUUGGAGGGCCAAAAAGCACUUUCUGGCCCUCCAAAAGUACUUUUAGAUAAAAAAUGAUGUUUGAUAAAAUUUUUGAAAAGCUGUUUCAGCUUUUGCAGGAAGCUGAAAACAGCUUUUGGGGAGAAGCUCCAAUUUGGCGCUUUUCGAAAAUGCUGUUUUCAGCUUUGUCCGGAAACUGUUUUUUGGACCAAAAUACCCACAUUUAAAUCUCACUUUUNNNNNNNNNNNNNNNNNNNNNNNNNNNNNNNNNNNNNNNNNNNNNNNNNNNNNNNNNNNNNNNNNNNNNNNNNNNNNNNNNNNNNNNNNNNNNNNNNNNNNNNNNNNNNNNNNNNNNNNNNNNNNNNNNNNNNNNNNNNNNNNNNNNNNNNNNNNNNNNNNNNNNNNNNNNNNNNNNNNNNNNNNNNNNNNNNNNNNNNNNNNNNNNNNNNNNNNNNNNNNNNNNNNNNNNNNNNNNNNNNNNNNNNNNNNNNNNNNNNUAAUGAGUGAUGGCAAAAUAAUCUUUUCUAAAUAAAUAAAUAAAUAAAUAAAAAUAUUAGUAAUUAUUUAACAAUUUUAUCACAUAGCUAGAAAUCUUGUUAGAGAGAUAAAUGAUCAUUAGAAGGAUGAAAAAUUAAUUUACACUAAUAAUUAUAAUAUUUUAUAUAUUUAUUACUGUAUUAUACUAUAAAUAUAAUAUUAUAUUACAUUAUAUCAUAAUACAUUGAUAUGUUAUGUUAAAUAAUUUAAUAUUAUAUUAAAUUAUUAUUCUAUAAUACAUAAUGUUAUAGUACUAUAUUAUAAUAAUAUUAUAUUAUAUUACAUUAAUAUUAUAUUAUAUCAUAUAUUUAUGUAUUAAUACGUAUUAUAUUUUAUUAUGCUCUGUUGUAUAAUACUGGCAAUGUCCUUUAUGGUCAUUUUGGUACACAAAAGUAUUUUCUCAAUUUGUUUACCAAAUACAUGUUAAAGUGCCACAGCACUUUAGAAAUGUAAUUACCAAACAGCAAACAACUUUUUAUAAACGCUCUGCUUCAGACAGCUCUACUUCCAACAACUCUACUUCUAAAAGCUCUACUACUAACAGCUCCCCCAAACAGGGCCUAAGAUAAAGUCAUAAACUUGAUGGAAUAAAUUCAUACAUGAAACUUUCCAUAUUUUCAAAAUACAUGAGGAGAACCAUAUGAGCAAAAGAACAUAAAGACAACACAAUAGAUAGGGCAAUACAUAACAACAUAUGUAAACAUCUUGCGUCAUUCUAUGAAUAUAUCCAAAAAGGUAACUUCAUUGUAUUUUGCUUUAAAAGUUCAUACGAUAAGUUUUCAUUCUGAAAAUCCUAAGAGUAUACAAAACGAGGAUAGAGAUUUCUUAGGUGACUAAUCAAAAGAAGAGGAUAAAGAAGAAGAUAAGCUUCGAUAGGGACAGUGAAUGGUGGAUUCCAAGAUUUAGAGGCCGAUGGUCUAGAGGGUCCAGGUUGAACAGAAAAAGAGAUGAAAGGGUCAAGUGGCUCUCACCUCCUGAGUGAAUAGCCCAAGAACCUGGACGAUAGUAGAAGCUGAUGUAGUGAUAGACACGGUCAAUCUCCUUGACUCAUCCCAAGCCUCCCUGAUCAUACUAUGAACCUCGUUCCCCAGCCUCUGCGCCUCAAUAGUGGAUUUCGUCAUGUCAACCUGGAUAGAGGUCCGCACAAAUCUCGUCUCACUCUUGACAUCAACAGCCCUCUUGAGCUAGCUACUCACUAAGGGAUGAAUAUCUAAGAUGUCAUGCCUCAAGUUCACCACCAUCUGAGUCAGAGUAGAAACAUCAGGCUCUAGUCAUUGACAAUAGGUAGUGCACCUUGAGAAGACACAGGUGCCCUCAGCUUCCCUUGCCUAAAGACUCCAGAUGCUAUCAAUAUAGCAAUCACCUUUUCCACUAUAGAUCUCAUCUAAUCCUCGUCCAAUCUGACGAUGUGACUCGAGUUGCUCACUAGCUGUGAAGGUUGAAAGUUAAAGGAUGCAGAAAAAUCUCCAGCUCCAUGCUCCACAAGAAUCUUCGAUACUAUAAAAGGCAUCUCAGUAGGGGCAGUCAGGUCGAUAUCCUCAACAGACUCACUGGGCCUGACCUCUAGGUGACAGUGCUCAUCUCUUCUAAGCUCAUCAUGCCUGCCACCUCCACCAUGAUGCGUCCAAUGACUGUCGAUCUUAUUGUAUCACAUCCGAUGUAGGAAGCGGUCAUUGUUAGUGUCACUUUUACAACAGUACUCUCGAGAUUUUUCUCUCGAGCUCAACACUAUAUUCCCUAAACACUAAGGUCAAGAUCAUGUCAUAAGGUAGAGAUACCUUCAACCUUCUCAUUGCCUCAUGCAUCUAGCAAAACAUAAAUGCAGGCAAAUUUAGGAGAUACUCCGUGAGCACAUGAAACAUCACCACGAUAUCUCUCUUAGAAAUAAAAUCAAAUCUUCCCAUCUUAAGAAAAAAUAUUCUACUGAUCAUGUGGUGGAGGAGCCUCAUCUCUACAGAUAAUUGAUUGGCACUAACUUCCUCCAACUCAACAAUUUUCUCUCAUCCCAAAAUGUGUUCAAGACGAAUCCUUCACUUGUCUAAUCCAUCUUCAGAGGAUUCGUUAGUCGGCAUUCCAAAAGGCCUCCCUUUGACCAUGGACUCCAAGCUUCCUACCCCAAACUUCACAUUCCCAUAGAAUUUCCUAACUAGGUUGGGGUUAAUAGAGACAUCCAAGAACAAACAAACUUCCAUCCCAUCUUCUGCAACUUCCUCCUAAUAGAGAAACCCUCUCGGUCCAAGAAAUUGAAGUACACCUUCCUAUCGGUGGUAACUAUUCUAGCAAAGAGUAGUACCUUACUAGGAAUUGUUUGAAAAGGAGAUGGAAUAUGCUCUUCAACUAGUGGAGGAAUGCAGUCCAACCUCACUUUUGUUCACCAUUCUGAUGGAACUAAGGUCUUUGUUCGCUUCAUCUGCUAGGUAAGUUGAUUUCAUAGGGCCAUGAGAGAACAAAUUGACCCAAAGGAGAGGAAUUCUACGGCUUCAAAUGGGUGAUUUUGGAAUAGAGGAGAGUAGGAGAAAGCUUCGAGUGAGAGGGAAGAGGAAUUAAAGUGAAAUGGAUUAGGGAUGACUCACGUAUAAACCCGGCUUCGACACAGGGGUCGACUUGGCAUAAUCUUCAAGUCGAAUUCUACGGCUUCAAAUGGGUGAUUUUGGAAUAGAGGAGAGCAGGAGAAAGCUUUGAGUGAGAGGAAAGAGGAAUUAAAGUGAAAUGGAAUAGGGAUGACUCACGUAUAAACCCGGCUUCGACACAGGGGUCGACUUAGCAUAAUCUUCAAGUCAACUCCUAAGUGGCGGGUCGACCCAUCAUUUUUUAUGAGUCGACUCCUCCUGAUCCUACAGAACCUCCAGUUGACUUCUACUCAUUUUUGAGCCGACUCAAAGCUUCCGCUUACUUCAAGAGGUUGACUCCCCAAAACUAGGUGUCGACCCCUCAGACCAAGAGUCGGCUCAUACUCAUGUGACUAAAUAAAAUACAGAAAAUAGUAACAAAUACAUAGGCCUAUUUAUAACUCACAAUAAGACUUAACACCAAUUUCAAUUUUCAUUGUCCAUGAAAGCUCACAAUCAGCUGUCUAUAAAUCCAUCUUCCAUCUAUUUUGUUUUUUAUAUCAAUGGUGACAAUGAAUUUUAAACUCGUGUUAACUCUGUAUCACCGAAUUAGCCAGGAAAUCUAAAGGAGGUUCAACUAAGAAGACACCAUUUUUUACUAUGUUAUAUCCUCACUUGUCAAGUUCAAUAAACUAAGAAUUAAAUAAUUUUUUUAUAAAGUCCCUUUAUAGCAUUGGACAAUGGGCAGUAUAAAACUUUUUAGCUAUUUCACAACUGAGAGCCAAGGAAAGGAACUCAACAAAAGAAAUUCAAUGGACUAGCAUUUCCUCUAAAAAGUGAGGAAGGUGACUUUCCCGAUAGCAACAAGUGAGGAAGGUGCUGGCAUCGAGUUAGGCGCCGAGCGAGAUUUGGGUGGGCUCAAUCCAAGUUCGGGCCGGGCUGAGGGGGGCCCAAGCCUGUCGUCGCUGGGCGCAUGGCUGGUCCGGGCCUUAGCCCACGGAAGAGGUCGAGAAGCCCAUCCAAGCGACCAUUGGGGCUGAGCUCGACAGAGGCGGGUUUGGGUCUUUCGGUGGCAUCGGGGAUGCCGAGGAGGCUGGUGGGCGGCAUUCGUCGGAGGAGCAAAAGCUCCCCUCCGCCCUUACCAACAUUGCGUGGUCGGCUGCCACGGGCAGAUGUGGUGAGUAGAGGCGUCGGCCAACCACCUUUUCCCGGGGGGUCGAGAGGUCAUGGCACGGAUCGGCUCAACCGGGUGGCCUCGGCGGUGGCUUCCUUGUCAGAUCUGGGGGUUGCGGCAUCGACGUCGGAAGUCAGGGGCGAAGCUGGGGCGGCCACGAGCGACGGUGCCAGCCAGCACUUUCCUCCUCUUGUUGAUCCGAGUUCUGCUGAGACGGGUGAGCCGUGCCAUUUGGCACAGACCCACAAUAUCAAGCCAAUGGCCGGGGAAGUGUUGCUCACCAAGGGAACCGACAUUGCCAUGGGUGAUGGAGUGCAGCAGGCUGAACCAGGGGCUGUGGGGGAGGAUCCUGUAGCCUCAGCGUGCCAUUUGGCACAGACAAACAGUGAAGGAUUAUACAACCAUAUCAUGCUCCAAUUGCUGGCUUCAGUGAAGGGAGUAAAGGCCAAUGGUGGGGUGACUGACAGUGGGUUGAGUUUGGAGGAUUCUUGUAGGUGUGAUCCUGGGAGUUGGGCCGUGCCGAUCCAUCUAGUGAUUUAUGAAGGUGCUUUUUUUGAAUUGCCAUGGUGCGGAAAAACCUUGCUUUGCCCCGGCUUUUCGCAGGUUGGUGACUCUACAUAAUUCGGAUAUCGUGUAUUAUUAGAGACUCGAUUAUCUGGAGGUAGUCUAGAGAAGGCAAGGAGGGCGGUGCCGAGGUCGUGGAGAUUUUAUGCAGUGGAAUCUCAGGGACUGUCGGGAUGGAUUAUUGUCACUUGGGCUCAGAGUAAUUGUAGAAUUGACAUUUUUAAUGUUUGCACUCGAGAGGCAGUUUUGGUUAUUUCGGAAGGUAAUGGGAACCCAUGGGUCCUCACAGCUGUGUAUGCUAGUACAGACUACAGGGAGAGGAGGAUUUUGUGAGAGGCAUCCCAAUUGAUUAGUCAGGGCCAUCCGAUGUUAGUAGCAGGGGACUUCAAUUGCAUUACCGACCCCCAGGAGAAGAUGGGUGGCCAUCCUUUUACCUUUAAAAGUAAAAUUAAGGAGUUCCGGGAUUUUCUUGAUUCGAAUGGAUUGGUUGAUUUGGGCUAUUCAGGCCCGCGGUUCACUUGGUGUAAUAAUCAGCAGGGGCAGGCCCGAGUUUGGGAGAGACUUGAUAGAGUUUGCGCCACGGCAGGAUGGGUUCAGCACUUUCUAGAUUACCAUGUCAGACACUUGCCUAGAAUUGCGUCGGACCAUUGUCCAUUAUUGGUGAGUACCGAGGCACUUUUUUCUGUUCGCCCUCCUUUUAGAUUUGAGAAGAUUUGGCUUUGUUACCCACGGUCCUGGGAGAUGGUCAAGAAGGCCUGGAGCAUGCCAGUCAGGGGGGAUGCCAUGCACCGUGUGUCCCGGAGGUUGGAGUUGACUUCUAGACGGUUGAGGAGGUGGAACCGUGAGAAGGUGGGGAAUAUUUUUAGGAGGAUGGAGGGCUUGGAGGAGGCCAUCACCAGAUUACAGUCUCAGGAGGUCCAAAGUGGAGGCUUAUCGGAGGAGUUGGGGGAGCUUAGAUCACCCCUAGCACUACAUGAUUCGCUCCUUAGACAGCAGGAGAUUUUUUGGAGACAGAAGUCAAGGGUUCAGUGGAUUUUGGAAGGAGAUCGGAACACCAGAUUCUUUCAUCAGGCGACAGUGAUUAGGAGGCAUCAGAACAGGAUCAGAGCCAUCAGAGGUGAGGAUGGGCAGAUGACGGAGGACCCAGACAUGAUCAGGAGGAUUGUGGAGAGUUUCUUCAAAGCUAGAUGGACAGAGCAGAUAGAGGAGGGGAGUUCAGUGGACAUCCCGAUGCCUCAGACUCGGGUGUUGGAGGAGGAGUCCGCAGCACUGAUCCGACCGGUUUCGGAGAGGGAGGUUAGGGAGACAGUCUGGUCCCCAGAAGGGGACAAGGCCCAUGGGCCGGAUGGUUUUCCUUCGAUGUUCUUCAGGAGGUAUUGGUCGAUUAUGGGACAGGAGGUGGAGGAGGCCAUACAACAGUAUUUUAGUACAUCUACUAUGUCAAGGGAUUGGCAGAGGACAUUUAUCACUUUGAUACCGAAACGGCAAGAUGCGACUGAGCCGGGACAUUUCCGGCCGAUUAGCCUGUGCUCGACUUUGUACAAGGCUACGACGAAGAUACAUGCUGUUAGGUUGAGGAACAUUCUUCCGAGGUUGAUCAGUCCGGAGCAGGGGGCUUUUUGGGGAGGACGGAGCAUUACAGAUAAUGUGCUCAUUGCCCAGGAGUUCAUGUUUGAUCUUCGUAGGGCGCCGAUGAGGAGGAGCUUGAUGGGGAUCAAGCUUGACAUGGAGCGGGCGUAUGAUAGGAUAAGAUGGGAUUUUGUGAGGCAGUCUUUGCAGGGGUUUAGAUUUUUCGAGAUAUGGAUCAGUUGGGUGAUGGGUUGUGUACGGCAUCCUUCUUUUGCCAUCUUGAUUUUGGNNNNNNNNNNNNNNNNNNNNNCUAGAGGUGGGUGAGCAAGUGGAUCCACUGAUAUAUAUGGGGAUUCUGCUCUCAGGUCAGCGGCUACGUAGGAGGGACUGUACUUCUCUGGAGCUCAGCAUCAGACAUAGACUGGAGGGAUGGCAGAGGCACACACUCUCGAUGAUGGGGAGGAUCAUCCUAGUUCGGUCAGUACUCUCGUCGAUUCCGACUUACUUUCUCUCCAACUCUCUUAUUUCAGUGGAGGUUUUGAGGACUAUUGAGCAGUUCUUCAGGAACUUCAUCUGGGGAGGGAGUAGUGGUAGAGGCGGUAUCCACCUGGUGACAUGGGAGGUCGUGUGCCAGCCGACCAGGGUUGGUGGAUUGGGAGUGCAGUCUUUGGUGGUGAGGCGAGAGGCUCUAGCGGCGCGUCAUGUAGCUAGAUUUAUGCUAGAGCCUGAUAGUCUGUGGUCCUCACUGAUGAGGGCCAAGUAUGGGGCUUUGCUCCCGAGGGCGCACGGCACCAUUCGCCGGUGUGGAGGGAGAUAUGCGCUAGGGCCAUGCAGGUGCUUCUGGAGAUCAGAUGGUCUAUCGGGGACGGACGAUCGAUCGAUAUCCUGGCAGACAGUUGGGUGACUAAGCAGCCGAUCAGUCCUCUGCCGACCGUGGUGGACUCGGCGAGAUUGGAUGGAUACAGAGUAUGCGAUCUAUUGGACCCUGUUGGGUGUCAGUGGAGGGAGGGGCUGAUUCGUGAGGCAUUCGGAGAGCAGAUGACAGAGUUGGUUCUAACACUUCCGGUUCCAUCGCGAGGGGAAUCUGACAGGCUAGUGUGAAGGCCAUGAGGACGGACACGGGUACGAGCUAGAGAUCUUCUUCCCAGUCUGGCCGGCAGAUUGAAGGAGGAUGGAUUUGGAGGAUGCGGAUUCAUCCACAUGUAGCGCUAUUCAUCUAGAAGGCGGUAUGGAGCUGCCUACCGACCAGGAGUCUGCUAUCCCGACGAGGAGUGAGGGUUGCGCAGUACUGUGUCGUGUGCACGGAGGUGGAGGAGACUAUCGACCAUGUUCUAGUGCAGUGCCCGAGGGCGAGAGAGAUUUGGAGCAGUUCACCGGUCCCCUUGCCCCAGUCGGUGGAGUCAGCACAGGCUCUGAUUAUUUUAUUGAGAGCCUCCAUUCGGAGCCCCAGGUCUUGGGAGGAGGGCAUCCUCAGAGCAUAUCUAGCUUACCAUAUUUGGUUGGACAGGAAUGCUGGUAUAUUUGAGGGUAGGAGGCUCCCACCGAGGAUGGUAGUUCAUAGAGCUAUAUCACAGUCCGGGAAGGUUAUUGCAGCCUCAGCAUUGUUCACUGUUGGGAUGGCCAGGAACAUCUGGGGCACUUCAUCUGCUGUCAUAGUGCCCAGGUUCGCCCUCGUUUCUUGGGUGCCCCUACCCCUUGGUCAUCUCAAAGUGAAUUUCGACGAAAGUAUGUCGGUGGAUGGUACUACUGGAGGUGUUGGAUUUGUGAUCAGAGAUUCCUGAGGCAGGCUGGUGGCAGCCAGGGGUCAGCGCACGCUAGGACUUACGGUUGUAGGGGCAGAGCUUCGGAAAGCAUGGGAAGGAUUAUCAUUUGCGAGAAGAGUCCUCGGUGCCGAGUGGAUGCUUCUUAAGGAGGAUUCCUCGAUGGUGAUUGACUGGAUUCGAGGUGUAGAUAGAUAUACUGAUGGCCAUCCUCUUAUUAGAGAUACUCGGAGACUGGCCCAAGAGUUGGGAGGCUUCCAGGCAGUACACGUAUUUCGGAAGGCGAACAGGACAGCAGACUGGAUCGCCUCCUUCGUCGCCCGGAACUCCAAAAAGUUUCUUUGAACAUCUAUGAAAGAUAUUCCUUCCUCUUUAUACUCUUUACUUUCUCAUGAUUUGAUAGGAUGUACUCACUUUAGAGCUAUAUAAUUUGCUGUUUUGACAAAAAAAAAAAAGGAAUUCAUGGUCUCAAAGAACAAGCUAAGCACAUGACGACAAACACUGUGACAAUCAUUUUGGGCAUUACAAAUCUUUCUGUCCUUCCCUAAAACCUAUUUUCUACAAGCUCCUUCUCCAUAUCCAUUUACCAAAUGGAGCAUCAUACCUUUAAUACAUCAUAAUUAAGUGGUUGUCAUUCACAUUGACUCUGGCUUACAAUUGAAGCUUCAUGGAUGAAUUAGUUGCCCAUCUCAUAUAUUGCCGUCCUCCCUCUAUGUCUAGAUCCUCUCCAUACAUCAACAACAAGGUAUGUCUCCAUAGCCACCAUCUGGAAUUCUAGGUUCACGACAGAUCACCUUCUUGCCCAAAGUUGCCUUGGCAAGGAAUAUGGUAUCAAUUCAAAAGGGUUACAUGACGACAACAACAAUCAUCCUCGAUUUUUUAAUGCUUCGUCAUUUGUUAAUAGCUUAAAAGAAAUUAUGGAUAAAAAAGCUUGCUGGCUGGCAAGCUGGUUAGUAUCGCCAGGGCUACUUUAGUAUAACAGGCACGGAAGGACAUAAUACGUGCAACACUGUCUUUGAAAGUGCAGGCUCAGUUCUUACAGGCUCAGUUCUUAUAACAAGGCAUUUAGCUUUCAAGGAACCCUUCUUUCUGUCACCAUUUCCACAGCUAGAAGGCAGUCCUCAACUUGUAUCACCUUACAGCAUGACAACUUCCAUGACAAACACACAAAAUUAUUAGCAAGAUAUUACAUAUUGCCCCCCUUUUUCCUUGGACACUCUCAUACAUUAUCACUCGCCAGUUUAUUUUUUGUUAUAGUAUUCUGCGCCAAAAUAAAACAAUACACAUCAAAACUGAUACAUUAAGUUAAAUCUCCUUAUCACAGUGUUCUUCGAAGCCAAAACGCUAAAGACUGAAAUGAUCACACAACAGUUUUCAGUAAUAUUUUGGUCAAAUAAAUAGUUCCUGUAAACCAGUCAUCACUGUUCUAAACUGGUUUUUUAAUGGAAUACACGCAAUGUACAAAUAAUAAUAUUCGCUAGUACAAGUCAUGGUCAAAAAAAAGACGUCCAUCCAACUUAGAUAAGGUUACUAGAAUUGAUGGUAAAAGAUCACAAUAGCGAGGAAUAGAAGUCAACAUGCAGUAAAUUUUCAGCCACGUCCUCUUCUGUAAUAUUAUUGAGAUGCUUGGUACAAACUACAAACAAAUACUGUUGAUACAGUCAUACUGAACCAUAUUUAAUGGCAACUAGUUGAUCUACUAAAUCUAUAUCUACUGCAUGUCAGAACAGAUAUUAAAUGACUUAAUUGACUGUUUAUUUUGCUCUUUGAACCCGGAAAAACAAAAAAUAGUGAAACUCAGACGGUGGAAAUAAUGGGAUCCUCAGUUGGAAAAAGUGAGUACUCACAAAUGUAACAAUAGGCUAUGCAUUGCAACUUGAAAAUCUAUUUUAUGUAAGCUUCGUCUGCAUAUCUAUUUACCAAAUGGAGCAUCAUAUAUUUAAUACAUCAUAAUCUUACUACUUUCCUGGUAAGAAAGCAAAGAGACCUUAAUUACUUCAUAACCUCCUGGAAAAGAAUUGACUUUGACAACAUUUUUCAUAAUCAAGCAGGUGCCGUUGAGAUUGACUAUGGCUUAGAAAUUGUGGUUCGUGGAUGAACUAAUUUCCCAUGUCAAAUAUUGCCAUCCUCCCCUUAUGUCUAGACCCUCUCUAAAAUCAAGGAAAAUGCUCAAAACUUGAGAAUGCUUCACCCACGAUGCAGGAGCCCAAAAUACAUCAACAGCAAGGUAUGUGUCCGGCAGACACCAUCUGGAAUUCUAGGUUCAUGACUGCCCCCCCUUUUGACCAAAGUUGCCUUGGCACAGAAUAUGGUUUCAAUUCAAAAGUGUUACUUGAAGAUGACAAUCAGAUGUCCUCAAAUUUUUUAAUACUUCAUAAUUUGCUUAAUAACUUUAAGAUAUUAUGGAUAAAAAAGCUUGCUAAUUGGCAUGUUGGUUAGUAUCACCAUGGCUACUUUAGUAUAACAGAUAGGGUUGUUAACGAGCCGAGCCGAGCCCGAGCCUCUGUGGGCUCGGCUCGGCUCGUUCCAUAAAAAUUCAGGCUCGGGCUUGGGCUCGGGCUCGGUACCGAGCCCUGUAUUGGGCUCAGGCUCGGGCUCGCUUGGCACAGCCGGGCUCGGGCUUGAGCUCGUUUGCCCGAGCCCGCCCCAUCCCCAUCCCCAUCCCAGCCGGAGCCUGCCCCAUCCCCAUCCCCAUCCCCAUCCACGGUUCGCCGGAGGAGAGGAAAGAAAGAAAGAAAGAAAGAAAAGAAGAAGAAGAGAAGAAAGAAGAGGGCGGCCGCGAGCACCGCCAGCACGGGCAUCGGCCACGGGCACGGCCGUGGGCGCCGCGAGCUCGGCCACGGGGGAGGAGAAGGGAGAUGAGGAGGUGUAGGAAGGGCGUUGAUGAGCCUUCCCCUUUUCAAUGAGGAGCUCGGCUCGUUGACAGCCCUAUCCUCUCAAUGUAGGAGGGUUCAGCCGGCUCGCUUGUUGCCUCCCCCGCCGGGGCGGCGGCAUCGGGGGCGGAGAAGGGAGAUGAGGAGGUGUAGGAAGGGACGAAGGGUACCAGAGGCGGGUGCAGAGGUGGAGGGGAGGGCGGCGUCGUCGUCCUCGUCCUUGGAGAGAUGGGAUCGAGAUUUGGGCGUACGACGUCGUCGUCCUCGUCGUCGGAGGAGGAGAGGGCGGGGAGGGGGGCAUCAGCUUCGGGCUUGGGGGCGAGGAGAACGGAGUUGUGGGUGGGCAUGGAGCCAUGGAGCGGUGGAGGUAGGGUUGGCCGGUUGGGAAUAUUCUGGAGAAACCGAGAAGAAAGGGAAUUUAAAUAGAUUAACGGAUUUGUUUGAUUAACGGGUUGGUUCGGUUAACGGGUUGAGUCGGAAUCCGAACCAAUCUAAUUCGAUUUAAAGAAAUUAAAUGAAUUUGGGUUAGUCCGGGUUGGGUCUGAUCUAAAUCCAACUGGGUUCAAUCAGAAUGGGAUUUAAAUUGAUUAAGCCAAAUAAAAUUUAAUUGGGUUGAGUCCAAAUUUAAUUGGGACCCAAUUAAAUUAGUACUUGGACUGAACCCUAAUUUGGGCUCGUUUGGGCUCGUGAGCUGCUCGGGCUCGAAUUUAAACGGGCCUCAUUUUGGGCUCGGGCUCGAGCUCGUUUGACUAACGAGCCGAGCUCGAGCCGGGCUUUUACCGAGCCGGGCCCUAGCCGAGCCCGAGCAGCUCGGCCCGUUGACAGCCCUAAUAACAGACAAGGAAGCACAGAAUAUAUGCAGUCCCAUAUCUUAUGAUAAGGUAUUUAGCUUUCAAGGAACCUUCUGUCUGUCACAAUUCUCACAACUAGAGGGCAGUUUUCAACUUAUGUCACCUCACACCAUGAGAACUUCUAUUACAAACUCACAAAAUUAUUACCAAGAAACUACAAAUUGCUCUCCUUUUUCUUUGGAUCCCCUCAAAUCUUUUCACUUGCUAGUAUUUUAUUCAUUGUUUUAGUGUUUUGCACCCAAAAAAAAACAAUAGACAUCAAAAUUGAUAUAUUAAGUUUAAUCUCCUCAUCAGUGUUUUUUGAAGCUAGAACAGAAAAUACUGAAAUGAUCCUACAACAGUAUUCAAUAAUAUUUUGGUCAAAUAAAUAGUUUCUACAAACCAUUCAUCACUCUCCUAAAUUGGUUUUUCCUAGGAAUAUGUGCAAUGUCCAAAUAAUGAUAAAUGCUAGUACAUGUCAGGUCAAAAAAGAGUUCUGCCCCACUUAGACAAGGUUACUAGGAUUGAUGGUAAAAUAUCACAAUAGCAACAGAAGUCCACAACAUGCAGUAAAUUCUCAGCCACAUCCUCUUCUAUACUAUUCUAGAGAUGCUAUGUACAAACUACAAAAAUUAUUGUUGAUACAAUUGCUACAAGUUGAUCUACUAACUCUAUAUCUACCGCAUGUCAGAGCAGAUACAAAAUUAAUCAACCAUAAAUUUUGCUCUUUGAACAAAAAAAAAAGAGUGAAACUCCGACAGUGGAAAUAAUGUGAUUCUCAAAUGGAAAAGGUGAGUACUCAUAAAUGUAACAAUAGGCAAUGCACUGCAACUUGAAAAUGAGCACUUAUGUUCUACCCAUGACUGUGUUUUCCCUGUUUUAUUUCCUAAUAUUUCUUUUCACCGGUUUAUCUUGUGUCUUCCUAGUGAUAUGAGACACUGUUUGCUUAUAAAAGAUUAAAGGUAUCCAGUUGUGUCUGUCCUGACAAGUCAUGACCCAAAGGAUUGUACUAUUUAUGCUCUGCUUGGAUUGAAGUGGAGAUGAUUUCAUGGUAUUUGUUGAUCCCACAGUGUAUCUAGUCCUUGAAUGUGAACACUUUUCUCUCCACUGAAUAUCUAGCAGAAAGUUAAAAUCCAGCAGGAUUACAAAAAGGUGUUCCAAAGCACUUUUCUCAUCACUGUUUUGAAAAGCAGAGCGUAAAGCCACAUAUGCAUAUCUGGUCCCCUGAUGGCAUCAGGUACCCUAUAUGAGACUGUUAUAUAUGAUCAGACCAUAUAUGAGCUGGAAAGAUGAUUUACUUAGCACUUUGUGGACACAUUCACAGUAGGAUUAGCAUUGUGCAGCUGCAUAUGCAGCCUACCCAUUAUUUUGCAACCGCUUGCAUAGCCCUUUCAGAAUUACGCCACCACAUAUAUGCCAUUCUUACACAGGUCCACCAUCCAUGUAAAUACGGCAUGUUCAAGUUAAGACGAGCUUUGGUUUUCAUGAGCAGUGGAUCAAGUGGGUCAUGGGGUGUGUAUGUUCUCCAUCUUUUAUCAUUCUAGUGAAUGGCUCACCUACGCAGUUCUUCGAGUCAGCGAUUGGUCUUCGGCAGGGAUGCCCGCUGUCCCCGCUACUAUUUAUUCUCUGUUCCGAUGCGUUAUCAAAGGCUCUCCGGCAGGCAGCAGAGUAUUAGGUCCUAGAGGUGUACAAUCCGGCGGCAGGGGAAUGCCAGAUCUCGCAUCUAUUAUUCGCCGAUGAUUAUCUAUUGUUGGCAUGAGCGACUCGUCGAGCUGCGAGGGUGAUUCGGGAUAUCCUGGAUGAUUACUGUUCUACUUCAGGUCCGCUAGUAAACAGGGGUAAGUCUGUCAUCUGUUUUAGCCCGAAGACCCCCCACAGAUCAAGACUUCUAUCAGAGAGAUUCUAGGCGUAGGUGAGCAGAAGGGUUCGAUGAGGUACCUUGGGGUUCCCAUUACGAGCCGACGUCUUCGGCGCAGCGACUGCUCUAAGGUUGAGUCGAGCAUUCGACGUAGAUUAGAGGGCUGGCAAGUGGAUGCUCUAUCCAUGAUGGGGCGCAUCAUCCUGAUGUGGUCAGUUCUGAGUUCGAUUCUGGUGUAUUUGUUGGCAAGUACACAGGUGUCGAUGUCCCUAUUAAGAUCUAUGGAGCAGUUGUUUAGGGAUUUCAUGUGGGGCAGACGAGAGGAGAGGAGUGGCAUUCAUCAGAUGGCAUGGGAGGUUGUCUGUCAGCCGCUCAGACAUGGUGGGCUAGGGGUCCUAUCACUGCGGGCGAGGCGUGAGGUCCUAGCUGCGCGGCGUGCUGCUAGGUUUAUCCUAGAGCCGAACAGUUUGUGGAGCGCCCUGAUGAGGGCUAAGUAUGGUGCUCUCGUUACGGAGUGGAGCUUCGGGCCGGGCGUCAGUGUUCAUGCAUUUGGCGGGAGAUCUGUUCCUCCGCCCAGGUGGUGCUACCGGCGACGAUUAAGAGUAAUUGAAGAAUAUCAAACAAAGAUAGACCGCUAUGGCUAGACGAUCAAGUGGAUGGCUGGUGAUGGACAGUCCAUUGACAUUCUAGAGGAUAGAUGGCUGGCAGAGCUACCGCUGAGUAGGAUGCCGACGAUGGUUGACUCUGCAAGACUGGCGGGGCUCAGAGUCCGCGACUUAAUGACUCCCGGAGGGGGCAGGUGGGACGAGGUCUUGAUCCGAGAGGCUUUUGGGGUACAUCUUGCGGAGAGGGUUCUUGCCAUUCCGAUACCUCAGGAUGGACAGGAUAAACAAGUGUGGGCGGCGACUGGGUCUGCCAGGGUGAGGUCAGCUGAUAUUCAGGUUGUGAUGAGGGGUGAGAGGGCGAGGCGUGUGUUGGGAGUUGGAUCUGGAGGAUGCGGGUUCACCUAUAAGUGGCACUAUUCAUCUGGAAGGUGAUCUGGGACUGCUUACCAACGAGGAGUAUGUUGGCCAGGAGAGGGGGUAGGAUUCCUCCGUUUUGUGUGGACUGCCUCAAUUCGGUGGAGACCGUCUGUUAUGUUCUGUUCGAGUGCCCACGGACAGCCCGGGUUUGGAGGAGGGCAUCAUUCCCCCUUCCGGGAUCCGAUUUUGCGGUAGAAGACUUUCUACGGCAGGUGAGGUCUGCGGUACAGGCACCGAGCACUGUGGGGUAGGGCAUUGCUGCUGUCUAUUUGGCUUAUCAUAUUUGGUUAGACAUGAAUACCAGAGUUUUUGAGGACAGGAGGGCCCCACUGAGGUCUGUUGUUAAGCGGGCUCUUCAUCAGACAGUGGAGGUCAUUAAGUCGUUGGAGCAGGAUUCACCGGUGAUGGCUACGGACAUCUGGAACCCCCCUCUGCUUCUAUAGUGCCCAGGUUUGUUCGUCUCUUGGGAGCCCCCACCUUCUGGCCAUCUUAAGGUGAAUUUUGAUGGAAGCUUGCCCGCUAGUGGUGAUUGGGCAAGUGUGGCAUUUGUGAUCAGAGACCAUAGCGUCAGGCUGAUUGGGGGGUUGUCGUUCCGUUGAAGCCUCGGCAUUUGGGGCGGAGCUCAGGGCUACAUGGGAGGGGCUAUCUAAUGCGAGACAUGUAUUGGAGACUGACAGGAUCAUUUUGGAGGGAGAUUCAGCCGUCUUGAUUGAUCAUCUUUAGGUGGAGAGACGGAAGGGGGUGGAGCACCCGCUUCUGUGCAACAUACGACGGAUACUACGGGAGUGUCGGGCCACUCAGGUCAGGCACGUCCUUUGGGAGGCAAACCAAGCUGCUGAUUGGGUUGCCUCCUUCACUGCUCAGCAUUUCGGAGAGUUUUUGUGGACCCAACAAUCCUUAGUUUCUAUUGCUUUCUAUAGUCUUCUUGAUAGUGAUGCAACUGGUUGUGCUUAAAUGAGAGCAUUUUGAGCAGCCGACCCAACAAAAAAAAAAAGCUAAGGUUCAAGGUGGAUGUGGGUUUCAGGAGGGACAGAUAUGCAUAUAUUAACAAUAUCAAUAUGUUAAUUAUGCUAUAAUUAUUGCCACCUGGAAUAGAGUAUAGCAAGCACAAAUUAUUACAUGUUAUUGGUAUUAAUACUACUAGUAUUUUGUACAAAAGAUAUUCAUUAUUCUAUAAAAUAUACUUUAUUUAUUUUAAAACAUCUAAAACACCAACCACUUAGGCAACUACAUGUGUGGCUGGAAAAUGCAUAUACGCUUUGUGGAAUCUUAACCACCUGCAAAUCACAGAUGCCUUUUAGAACAUACUUCUUACCCUCACUCCCUAACCUCCACUUCUAUGAUUUCUCUCCUAAAUUGGACCUAGAUAGUCCAACCACAAGUGGAUUUUAAAAUUCCCAAUUUUUCCCAAACAAAAACUGAAGUUACUAAAAAAAACAAAAAAGGAAUUUUCCCAACAGCAUUGUAAGCAACAUCCUUGUUGAUUUAAAACCUUUACAGAAAUUCUUCCAGUUGCCCAGAAAGGCUCUAAACGAUCUUAAAAGCCUUGGAUGCUUUCAUUCAUGUCAACAAGGGUUGAACAAUAACCAUUUGACUUGCUAUCUUGCUAUUAAAAGAACACAAAUUAGGCCCAACAGAUCAUUAUCACCGUGAUAUAGACAAUAAAUAAGUGACAUUAACUUUUUUCAACCAUAAGCUGCUCUAGAUUUUGCAGAAUCAUCUGCCCGCAGAAGUUUUCCAUUCUACAAGGAUGUUUUGGAUAUAAACAAUAUGUACAUCAAUGCCAUCACUACAUGAAGAAAAUAAGCCAAACUAGCAUAAGGCUCUACAAUGAAACAUAAAUGCUGGCAAAGAAAGUAAUGCAGAAUCUAAGAAAACAUGUUCAGCUGAUGCAAAGGAGAUAUUCUUAUCUAACUUUAUAUGCUGAGGAAAGGUUCAUAUUUUAAGAUUGGAAAACCCACAUUAGGUUAGAAAGGUUUAAAAGCAUAGAUUGCCCUGCAGGCUUUGUUCAAUAUUGGGAUUUGUCACAGGACAGAAAAGAGGUGGUAGUAACAUAAUAAGCAUAUAUCGCCUAUUUUCCAUAAUACGGAGACCAAUAUCGCAACAUAAUGGUCUCAAUCUACCCUCUUACAGCAGCUGAAACAAAACUAAGCAGUCAUAUGGACAUACACAUAUACUCCAACUAGAUAUAACAUGAAAAAGAUAAGAUAUAUGCCAAUAUCAUGAAACACAAUGAAUUCAAUACAUAAGAAUCCAGAUACAGGACAAAAAGAACUGGUUGAAGUUCUGAGCACAGUGGAAUGGAAGAAGUAAUUACUGGUAUACAACAAGUAAAAUAUUCUAUUGACAACUAGUGAUGACUCGAACAAAAAAGAUGAAGAAGAACCCACAGCCAUAGAUGGUACCAAAUUAAGCACAAAUGGUCCUAGCACAAAAUUGUGGUAGGACUGGGAACUAAGCAAAAAAGCUCCAUAAGAUGGAAAGAGAAGACUUGUAUUUUGUCACAGUUCAAAAGAGGACAACAUUAGCAGAAGUUAGAUCAUAAUCCAUAAAGAUGGCCAUUUUGCAUCAUUUCACACCAGUUGUUGAAACAUCUGGCUUCCCCAAAAGUCAAGACAGGUUUAAAGAAAUGCUAGAUGACCUAACCUUUCUAAAAGUAACAUAAUGUACAUAUGAUGCUCCCUGCUGAUAAAAAUAAUCUGAGUAACAUAGAAUGCCCAAAAAAGCAUAAAAGAUAAGGAUGAUAGCACUCCCAAGAUUGUGUUGGCAAAGAAUGGUAAACAAAUUUUGGCAAAAUACUAGCAAAAAUAUUGACCAUCCAAAAAUCUACAGUAGCUCCCCCCCUGCACAUCCUUUUCCUUCCAUACACAGUUUCAGAUGAGCAUUGUAAACAGAAAAAUAGCAAAGACCUAGCAGUGCCAACAAAAUGUACCUCCGUAAACAAUGAGGAAUUUCAUAUAACCAGCCUAGGUUAUCAAAUUUUUCGAAAGGAUUACUGCUACAAGAGUAGCAUCACAAGAAUGAGGCCAUGAUUGAGUAUUUAUAAAGUAUUCCAGCAUUUAUCACAAAUAGAAGCAGGUGGCAAAAUAUUUCAAAUAGAAGUAGCACUCAUAGUUAUAAUGGUGUCCUAAAUAAUUAUUAGAUGAUUAACAGCAUUUUUGAAAUUCAGCACAAUGCAAAUAAUCAAGCACUUGUAAAGCAGAAGAAGGAUUAAAAUAGACGUUUAAUUAAGCACUGUGGUCAAUUUCUCAAUAUGAUGCUAAAGUUCUAGAUCUAAUUAAAAAGAGCAGUUUCACAACUCUUGUAAUGGCUAAAAGAACAACUAGAGCAUAUAAUGUCAUUCAAAAGGUUAAAUAUAAAAUAAUCUAUUUUAUUUCUUGAGAUAAAAUAACUUAUUUAUUUCUUGAAUAGGAAGCACAUUCAAUAAAUUGCAAUGCUAAAAAAGGUUUCGACCUUAAUAGUACCAUGUUCACGCUUAUUUUAUGUAUUGUCAAUUCACCAGCAAACAAGAAAAGGUAUUAGAUUUUUUGCAGUUGAGGAUCAACACAUGAGAAAGCAUAGAAACAAAGUCUUAAUUUAUCAAGAUGAGGUCAGCUAGAAACAACAACUCACUCAAGAAAGCUUGACAAUGAAUUAAGCAAGAUGUUCUGAUUAGCUAUCAAUUAGGCAUAAACAUCUCACAAAUUAGACCAACAACCUUGGCUUGAGCUAGUGGUUUCACUAGUGAGCAGAUGGGCAAAGGAACAAAAUUUCAGAUCAUAAUAUAGUAAUUGCUGAAGGUACGAGCUUGUCAAGCUAGUAAAAUCUCUUGGUAGUGGUGUCAGAGACCUGGUUCAAAUCCCACCUUCAAAUGAUUGCUAGUUCCCUCUCCAAAAUUGUAUUUUGUCCAAAACUCCAACUAACCAUUAAAUAAAGAAGAACAAAUUAUAUGUGUUUCUAUCAACUAAUCACUGUCAAAUUAGUACUUUUCCUAAACAGGCAACAAGCGACACCAAUGUCGGUAAAGGAAGUUUUUGUAAUACAAUUGUUUAUGUUAUUUAAUAUAUUUUGGUGAUAUAUUAAAGAAGCCCUUGCAAGCACAAAUUUUCAUCUGAGCACUUGCAAGGACCACAAGACCUAUAAACCAGAACUUCAAGGCUGAAAUAGGUAUUCGAUACCACUUGUCAUUAGUUUUGUAGAGGUCCACUUAAAAUUAAUGUAGAUAUAAAAUAGAUAGUAGAAUCAUUUUUGACUGAUCCACGUUAAGGUUUGUAAGUGACUCCAUAUUCUUAUAGUAAACUACCAACUUCAGAACUGGAUCUUCAUCGCUUGAGCAGUCAAGUGGCUCCUGCAUUGAAUUAUUUUUCUACUCACAUGACAAAUCAACAUAUAAACACUUAUGCUCAACCAGAAACAAUAGCCACUUGAGGUUUGUAAAGGUUUUGCUGACAGUUAUAGCACUUGCAUCAGAAUCCUCAACAUCUCGUCUCUCAUAAUUAGACACAAUCAAAAUCUAUAGUUUCUACUUCGUAUCAGUUUUUAACAACCAUUAUUUUAAAAAAAUACAGGAUACACCUUAUCAUGCUGACAAGACAAGAGAAAAGGUCUAAUCUCUAUCAGUAUGGCUCCAAUUUUAUGGCAACACAAUCAGAGCUCUGCUUGAGAAGGGUAAAAACACUGGGGGAGAGAAAAACAAUAUUUUCAAUGCCUCACAAGAAUUGAACAUAUAGUAGUUAAAAGGCAAACCUCUUCCAUCUUCCAACACCAAGAUCAAAUGAAGAGAACCCUCGAAUCAAUCAAUCAUCGCCUUCAAAUACGCUGCUGAGACUCGAUCAGCAAAGCAUUUAGCAUAAUGUGGAGGGCUGCCUCGUAGACGACCCCAUCAUAAUGCAUUCCAUCGGCCGUGCACCGGCGGCCGCAGCCCCGACUCAACAAUCCAAUGUUGAGCAACAGAAACGGCCCACCUGAUCUUUUCAAGAUCUUGCUUUCGCCCACCCCCCGAUCGUACGCCUCCCAUACCGUCCGGUUCAUCCUCUCCCUCUUCUCCUCGGUGUUGAGCAUCGAGGUCACCAGCGUCGGCAGGCCCAGCCAGAACAUGUGGGGCGGCUGGACCGAGGACGCCAAGAUGCCAUCGAGCCCGAACUCCGGCGAGACAGGCGAAACCAGAGACGCCGCCGCCUUCUUAACGGCGACCAGGGAUUCGCCAUACUCCGACGAGUUGGUGACGUGGAGCAUGUGCCAGAGACCGGAGCCGAGGACGAGGACGUCGGGGUAGCGGGGCCCUGUGCGGAGAUCGCGGAAGAUGGCGGUGAGGUUGGGCUCGAAAGGAGCCCAGACGAAGUCGAGCUUGAUGCCAUGGUCGGCGACGGCGAUAUGGUAGUCGCUGUGGCGGCGGAAGAGGUCGGCCUCGACGGGGUCCAUGGCGGCGGGGUCGAGGAGAAGGCGGAGGAGGGCAAGGACGAAGAGGCGGGCCUGGGAAUCGCCGGCGACGAGGAUCCAGGAGCCGUUGAGGAGGUCGGACGCGUCGAGGCGGGAGAGGCGCUGGAAGCCGCAGGAGAGGGUGGGUGCGGAUGGGGCCCACUGCCAGAGGGCGGGGGAGGAGGCGGUGGGAGAGGAGGGGAGCCAGGAGAGGCGGUGGAGAAAGGGGAGGCAGGUGGAGGGACGGGGUAGAUGGAGGGGAUGAUGAGGGGGGGAGGAGGAGAGGGAGGAGAGGAGGAGUUGGGAGAGAGAGGGGAAAUAGGGGGUUAGAUGGACGCCGACGGCGAGGGUGAUGAAGAGGGCGCCGCUGAAGAAGAGCAUCUUGUUCCGGCUCAGGUGCCAUCCGGCCAUCCCCAUCGGCACGAACAGAACCACGCACGCCGCGAGCACACCCACCUGCGCCGGGCCCACCAUGGGGAAGGUCGGAUAAAUCGAUCUCGCCGCCUCCUUCCCUACCAGCCGUCAGAUCGAGCGGCGGCCCAUCGACGAGAAGGGAGAGGGAGAGAGAUUGGCACGGCGCAGGUUUGUACGAAACCACGGGGCGAGGGCUAGCUUGCGACGGGAGAGCACUAGAGCGACCUCCGGCAUAAUAACUAGGGUAGGAGAGUUUGGAGAAGGGGAGGGUAGGGGGGAGCGAGGCGGCGAUAUGAAGCGAGAGGCGGUGGGGCAACCACUCGGUCUCGGUAGGGUGGAGCCAUCACCGCGAUAGCUACAAGACAACAGAAAAGUGGCGGCCCAGUUCAGCGUGCGCAGCAAGGCUAACGCGCGUGGCCCAGUUCGUGUCGAUGGCUCGAUUGGAUGACUAAUUGCGAUUUGCGAGUUUGCGACACCACCAAUAUUUGUUUUUGCAAGACAUUUGUACUCCUUGUAUGCGAUAAUUACAUCCUAAAUUAAGUGACUAAGAUUGUAAUCGAUUCGGGUUGCAUCUUUCACGCACCUUCUUUGGCAAUGUUGACUGUUGUAUGGCACCUCACACGGCUCUCGAAGCACCAUGAAAACGCUAAAUAAUGAUCGACCUUCUUUGGCAACGUUGACUGUUGUAUGGCACCUCACGCGGCUCUCAAAGCACCAUAAAUGAUUUCGUCCAUUUAUUUGCACAUAUCUCAAAGCAGCCAAUGCAUUCAAUAGAGGACGGUAUAAAGGACGUGAAUUCUUCUUUGGCACAUAAGAUAUAACCCUUGUUCGAUGGUAAUAUAUUUGGUUCCCCCUCCCACAGCGGACAUGGUGGAUUUGAUCUUGAUGGUGGAACAAGAAAAUAAAGAAGAGCAGCUUCUAAGUAGUGGUGAUGAGAGGAUUGCUAGGGGAAUGGGGGCUUCUAUGGAGGAGAAUUGGUUUUUCUUUUUUUUUGGAUUUUGUUACCGGCGUAAUUGAAAUUUUGGAAUUUUGGCGGUUGGGAUUCGCAAGUGAUGUUGGAUAUGUGUCAAGGUAGGUUUUAGCGGUUGGAUUUUGGAUUAACGGUUGGGCUGGGAAGGACUGUUGAGGUUUGGAUUGAUGACAUGACCACUUAGGCGUUAGGGGCAUUCCGAUUAUAACCAUGAAUGCACAGUGGAUCUGUACAGUUACGAAUUGAAUGGUUUGCGGAGAACGCAAUUUUGCUCGGAUCCCCCAACAAUAUUGGAUGGGGCUGUCUUUCCAACCAUGGACCCGGUAUCAACCCGGAUAUGACGACCCAUGAGUUGGGCAUGGAUCCAAAUGGAAAUAUGAUAGAAACCUCGUGUGGGUUCGAUGAUUUGAUCCAACCUGGCGCAAACACUGAAACCUACACAAUGGUUCAAUUUAUUACAUAUUUAUGUGUCCAUUGAAUCAAAAUGAUUUUGUCAAAGAUCUUUGAAAAUCACUCACAUAUAUUGACUUUUCAUCACAAAAAAAUUUAAAUGCCAACAGCCUGAUCCAAAUGGAUGAUUAUCUGACGGGUGCUAAUUUAAUUUUACUUCGUCAACAAGGUUGCCUUUGUAAUUCUUGAUGAAAUAAAAAGUUAGUUGAUUCUUUCAAUUUACAUAUCUGCCCAUUUACCACAAAAGAUCACCUUAAGAUAUGAGGUCUAUGAACAAAUCUGAAACAAGUACCAAAGAUGUUUUUUUUUUUGACCUUGAAGAGAACUAAUGGAGAUAUUGAAGAGCUGAUUGCAGGACAACCUUGAACCUCAUGACAUCCAGCUUUACAUUCUGUUUGUCAAGAAACACACAACAGAUUAUGUUCCAUCCUUGUGGAUUGAAAGAGGAUCCUUGAAGACCAGACGAUCUCUUGGAUAUUGCUGUUUUGGGGAGCUCUCCUCUUGUUCUAUCUGAUAUUCCAGAUACCUCACCCCCAUGUCCAGUGUAGGAUCUCCUUCAUCAUGUCUGCAUGCAUACUUCGGCUCAUCCCAUGGGAUUAUUUGGAUUAACGUUGCAUUUGUCGGUAGAAGGCCAUGUUUGUCAGACCAGCCCCAUGAACACCCAUCGUCAAGUCACAAGAGUUCGCAAUGCAUGCAAAACGCGACAAGUUCUUCGUAUCCUCAGGUCCUGCCAGCACCACUUCGUAACCCAAGCUUCCAGUUAUUGAAACCACUUCUCCUUUGUUUGUGAGUGAUCGCGACCCCCCAUUUCGAUACCUUAGCAGAAGUCUUGGCUUCUUCCUACCAAUCUUUACUGAUUUUCUCGUCAAAGAAAACCAUGUCCUUAAAAGUUCUGUAACUCACUCGUGGAGUAACCAUUUGGUGACUUGGAGGGAUCAAUGCUCAGUUCUUUGUGACUGAUAAGACCAACCUGAGUUCUCUUGUAGCAAUGUACCCUCUUGUCAUGGUCCAAAUUGAUGAUCUCAUACCAUGGGUUGCUUCAGUAUCACUUGGUACUUGUUAAUCCAAUGAGAAUUGAAGUUGGUUACAAGAAAUUGAACUUCUCCAUGAUAUUGGCAUGAACUUAUGAAGAGUGGGAUGAAAACAUCAGUGAGGUCAUGGAAGAAGUUGCUUGUGUAUCCUUUAGUGGAUAAAACAGUGGCGUUUCAUGGCACACUUAGGGGUUCCUUCAGGCUUCACAGAAUUGUUAGGUGUUAGUUCCUGGAUUUGUUCCACGACUGGUGAUUCCCAUUUCCUAGAAUAUGGUCUUAUCUUCCUUCUUGUUUUUUCUGUUGAAGUAUUUGCCUGAAGGGGACCGGUUAUGAUGAUGAAGGAGGCCUAUUCAAGCACUCUAACAUCACCCUGCAUAAAAAAAGUUUCUGAUCUUUGCUGGGAGAAAUCACAUAAUGUCCUGCUCUCUUGAAUCAUGUUUCCUGCAAUUUCAGUCAAAAAAAAUGCUACAAAGCAAUCGAAGCCAUUGCAAUUUGAGCGAUCAAAAACAAUGCUUGCUUGUACUUUCUAAUAGAAUCCUAAGUAACUGAAAAUUGCUUUCCAUGCAGGAUGAGGGACCACGUGCUGUUGAGUUGAUUUUUGAUCAGUAAAGUCCAAAAGAUGAUUGAUUUAAAGGACAUCUAAAUCCUAGUAUCCAAAUUUGGAUUUUGGGCAAGGGAUCGCCACACCAACAUAAUGAGGUUCAUCAGAUCCUACCUGAUUGAAAUUUCAACCUAAAUGUGAUACUUUGGCUAAUGAAUUUAUCAAAUUUGCUUUGGUUGGUGGUGUCAAAAACCAUAUCAAUAUUCAAAUAAUGAUUGAUGAUCCAAUUCUCUUUUGAAUUGAGUUUCCUUUUAGAUUAAAGGGUUUUUUUGCAUAACAUCCUCCUAAAUAUUGAAUUUUGCAUAAAUACCCUUCCAAAAUUUAUAUUUGCAUGUAUACUCUAUUAAAACACUUGUUUUGCUAUUUUACCCUUUUUUUUCCUUGUUUUUGCAUAUGUACCCACGCCAUCUAACACCGUUAAAAAAUUAAUUGUUUCAAAUUAAAAUGACUAAAAUACUCUUAAUGGAUAUAUGUGUAAAAAGAAAUAUUUUUAUUUUUAAUUAACUAAAUAAAGUUUUUAUUAACGGUGUUAGAAGAACUGUUAUAUUAGAGGCAUUUAUAUAAAAACAGUGUUUUAUGCGGGUAUAGAAAUAAAUAUAAUUUUAGGAGGAUAUUCAUGCAAAUUUAAAUUUUUAAAAGGAUAUUCAUGCAAAAAACUCGAGAUUAAAUAUUGUCUUAAUUAAGCAACAGUACUGCUUUAGAGCUUUCUAAGUGGAACAACCAUGCCUUCCGAGUAGGUUUCACUUUUGGGUUCUCCAUUGUAUCAUUUAAUGCUUGCAUGAACUGGAGAAGUUUGAUAAUGAGGAGUUUAAUAACCACAAAAGCAGUAAUGUUAAUGGAGCGAGAUACUUAAAUAAAAAAGUCAAUCAAAGUAAGAUUUUGCCAUACCUGCUACUGAAUUAUAUGACUCUUGUUCUUUUUCUGUAACAUGGGGAAUUCAGUCACUAGAUUAUCCAUUGAAUAAAGCACAAAGCAAAGUUAGUUACUCACAAUGUAAUUAAUGAUGCAUAACUUAAAGUUUAAAUUUAUCUAUUUUUGGCUCGUCUUCCUUAUGGUUAUCCACAAUGAAUUUCGAUGGUUUACUACCUGAAACUAGAUGAUCAACCCCAAAAGUAUUAGUUCAAGCAUAAUAUUAGUCACAUUAUAGGAUGGGAAUUAGGGUAUAACGAAUAGUUCUGAAUCUCUCUCUCUCUCNNNNNNNNNNNNNNNNNNNNUCUCUCUCUCUCUCUCUCUCUCUCUCUCUCUCUCUCUCUCUCUCUCUCUCUCUCUCUCUCUCUCUCUCAAUGUUAUAUACUCAUUGUAUUGUUCUCAUCAUUGCAGUUGUAGCCCACAAAAAAAUGCCUCAUAAUAAUAAUUGGAACUAUUUUCUAUUUAUGUUUUAUACAGUAUUAGAACAUUAAUGUUUUGAAAAUAAUCAGUACAAGAUCAGGUGUUUAUAUGUAGAUAGCCUGCUUUGAAGAGGACUCUAGUAGUUUUUAUCAGGAAGGAAAAAGAACAAAAAGAAUACUAGCAAUGAGCAGUAUUGCAUUAUUAGCAUGCAACCUCACGAUUUCACUGUGCAAUACUGUUCCUGCAUAAAUGAUGUUUGAAAACUAACAUUCACCCCUUGAUACGAAGUGUGUUACAGAAAGAUUAUAGCAAUAGCAGUUUAAGGGAUCUAAACCUGACCCUUCAAAAUGCCUACUAUGUGAAACUUGAUUAACUCAAGAUUGUUUAAAAUGGCUUGGCAAAAGGUAACAAGCUUAGUAUCACUUGGGACAAAUGUUGUGUGCUUAGCCAAUCCUAAAAUAUCCAUUUUUCUUGGGAGUAACUUUCUCUACCUAAGCAAGCUAUUAGCUCUUAGCUAGUUAAACUUUCAAGGAUCCAAAUUGAAGCACUUUUUCAUCACACCCCAGAUUUGGAACAUGAUUUGUCAUGCCCUAGAUCUGGAUAAUGACUUGGCCAUGCCACUGAGGCAUAAAUCCACAAAAUCACGAAGCCAAAUAUAUCAUUUAAAAUUUCAAAUCCAUCUUAACUUUCAAUUUCAUCUCAAAAAAAUAUAAUAAAUAAAAGUUUAAUUCUAUUAUUCAUUAAAUGCCACCAAUACUUGUUUAGAGCAUCUAAAUCCAAACAUAAAUACCAAACCUAUAAGAAUAAGCCUUGAAUGGGCCUUACUGAGCCUUGUUGAACUGAAGUCGGCAGGCCCAGCCGUCUUCAGCCCAUGGCCGAAGGAAGAGGAGGGAUAGAGGAUUGCGAUCGCGAUCCUCUUCCUCAGCAUGACAGGGAGCAAAGGGGCCGCGGCCGUUCCACGACUACCCCAUGGCUGCUUGAACGGCCGCCAAUCCCACUUAAUCACUAUGGGAAUCGCGGCGAUGACUGAGCCAAGCCAUUCGAAAACCCUCCCUAUAAGUCCCCCCUUCCUCUGCCACCGAGCCACCACCUUCGAUCUUCUCCUAUCUCCUCCUUCUCCAGUGGUCAACAUGCCACCCCAGCCGAGAACCACCGCCCAAAGAUCCCUCUUCUCCAUCUAUUCUAUCUAAGUGCCCUAUUUUCUUUGAGUUCUCGCUGUUUUGGAGCUCUGCCGCCGCUAGCCACCGGACCGAGCCGCCCAUGGCUGAGAUCCUCCCCUCCGUCAACGUGUCGAUGAGCCACCUUCCCUUUGUUCCAUUUUUGGUUAAACUGAUUCUAGCUUUUCCUUUUUCCUAUUUCGGAUCCAAACCGAGGAUGUCCUCAGUUUUCCACUUUACGGCCGAGCCACUACGGCACCGUGCCACAGGCUGAGCCACCUCGCUGCUGGCCGUGCCUCCACGAGCCACUGGCCGGGCCACCGCCAGGCCAUCGGCCUCCUCUUCCUCUCCCUUCUUCCUCUCCCUCUCUUCUUUCCUUCCCCUUCCUCCUUGUCUCUUAGUCAUUGGGAGGAAGAAAACUUUGUGGGCCCUGAUUGGGCCCUAUUCAUUGGGCCAUAUUUCUUGUGGAUGAAUCCAUCCAUCAUGGGUCGAGUUGGGCUCUGUUCAUUGUUAGGAUCUGUCACAUGCCGCAGAAAAUUUUAAAAAAUUUUCAGAUUGUAGCGGAAAGGCAUGCAAGAUCUCAUUUAUCGCAUGAACGUAUUUUUAAAUCUUCGUUUGUAGAUAGAUUAGGAUUAAAUUCUUAUAAACCUUUUUAAAUCAUUAAGAAGAUCAGAUCUUCACCUGUGCGGGUAGAUGGUCUCCGCAAAUCUGAUAUUCGUGGAUUUGUAGAAGGUUCGAUGGAAGCCGCACACGCGUCCGACCUCUACGGGUAUCCACACGAGGUAAAGCACCGAUCGAAGCUUUUGGAUCUCCCCGGGGUGCUAGCUCCCUUGCAGAGAUAGCUAUUGAUGGCUGAUAUCCUCCCUUUCAAUCAACUCUUAAAUGCCUAAGGGAGGAAGAAGAAGAAUGUUNNNNNNNNNNNNNNNNNNNNNNNNNNNNNNNNNNNNNNNNNNNNNNNNNNNNNNNNNNNNNNNNNNNNNNNNNNNNNNNNNNNNNNNNNNNNNNNNNNNNNNNNNNNNNNNNNNNNNNNNNNNNNNNNNNNNNNNNNNNNNNNNNNNNNNNNNNNNNNNNNNNNNNNNNNNNNNNNNNNNNNNNNNNNNNNNNNNNNNNNNNNNNNNNNNNNNNNNNNNNNNNNNNNNNNNNNNNNNNNNNNNNNNNNNNNNNNNNNNNNNNNNNNNNNNNNNNNNNNNNNNNNNNNNNNNNNNNNNNNNNNNNNNNNNNNNNNNNNNNNNNNNNNNNNNNNNNNNNNNNNNNNNNNNNNNNNNNNNNNNNNNNNNNNNNNNNNNNNNNNNNNNNNNNNNNNNNNNNNNNNNNNNNNNNNNNNNNNNNNNNNNNNNNNNNNNNNNNNNNNNNNNNNNNNNNNNNNNNNNNNNNNNNNNNNNNNNNNNNNNNNNNNNNNNNNNNNNNNNNNNNNNNNNNNNNNNNNNNNNNNNNNNNNNNNNNNNNNNNNNNNNNNNNNNNNNNNNNNNNNNNNNNNNNNNNNNNNNNNNNNNNNNNNNNNNNNNNNNNNNNNNNNNNNNNNNNNNNNNNNNNNNNNNNNNNNNNNNNNNNNNNNNNNNNNNNNNNNNNNNNNNNNNNNNNNNNNNNNNNNNNNNNNNNNNNNNNNNNNNNNNNNNNNNNNNNNNNNNNNNNNNNNNNNNNNNNNNNNNNNNNNNNNNNNNNNNNNNNNNNNNNNNNNNNNNNNNNNNNNNNNNNNNNNNNNNNNNNNNNNNNNNNNNNNNNNNNNNNNNNNNNNNNNNNNNNNNNNNNNNNNNNNNNNNNNNNNNNNNNNNNNNNNNNNNNNNNNNNNNNNNNNNNNNNNNNNNNNNNNNNNNNNUCCUUUCAAUGGAUUGAAACAAUUCCAACUCAACUCACCAGGGAUCAUCGACCAUCAAGAUGGUCCCUGUGAGUCUCACCAUCCACCAGUGACACCUAGCAGUACGUAGUGGCUACCCAGCAGAAUGGAAUGAUGAACCUCUAGGUGCAGUUAUCGUAUGAUACAGUCCUUCUAUCGUGGAUCCCUACAGACCGAAGGUCAUGGAUAACUCGUCAAACCCCAUCGUCUGUCAUAUGUCUAGAUUUAUUCGAUUUGAGUUCGAGAGUGAAAAACUCUUUCUCUACUGUAUAUACUGCCCGGGCCAAGAUCUUAGAACUCAGUCUUAUAAAUCACAUAAGAUCACUCCUCAUCUAUCAAGCUCGAUAGAUUCCAUGUAGGUGCAUACCCUACUCCUACAAUGAACCUACUGCAGUCAAUUUACACUACAAGGACCCAUAUGACUAGAGACCAUGUAUAUGUGUAGUCAAACUACAAUAACCUCACUGUGAGUAGCCGAAGCACCGUAGGUCAAAGGACCAGUCACACUACUGCAACAUCAAGCAAGUCACUGAAGAGUAGAACAUCCAAGUAACUUCUUGUCUUGGUCAUGCUCAGUAACCCUUGUUCUCUAACAAGCACCUGCACUAUCACUUCAGUGUCUCUACAUUGUAAACUCGAGUCUCGUCCAUCCAGAAGGAAAGCCAUCUGUGCACUGAUCUCAUCGGAUCGUUCACCGUCAUCGUGAUGAUCCAUUGAUCAGGAGCAUUUAGAAAUUAAUCACCAAUGAUACAUGGCUCAAAUUCUCAACUCUUGAGAAUAUGUAUCAUCAUCUUAUUAAUUCCUUGGACGAUUCAUAGACACAUAAACAAUAUGAAUGAAAAGAAUGCCCAUUUAUUAUUCAAUAAUAAUAAAGUCAAGUACAAAAUAAUGUUCCAGAAUUAAUAAUGUAUCAGCCAGAUUGGCUUCUAGGGCAUAUAUCUAACAUAUUCAUCUAUAGUGGGCCACAUUCAUAUUAGGCCUUGUCCAAUCAGGUUGGGUCGUUACCCAUUUGGAUCGUGUUGGGUCGUUUACCCAUUUAGAUCGUGUUAGGCUGUUUACCCACUUGGGCCUUGUAGGGCCGUUUACUCAUUUGGGUUGUGUUGGGUCGUUUACCCAUUUGGGCCGUGUUGGGCCAUUUACCCUUUUUUUGGCUAAAGCAGGUAAUUCAUACAAUACGUAUACAAAUGCAUCCAAUAAAAUUAGAAAAUAGAAUAUCGCGGAGCUCUCUAGGUAGCUUUCCAUUCCCAACCCAUAAGGUACUACUAGAAUGGCUGGCCACAUAGGCGGCCACCCAAUCUGCAAACUGAUUAGCUUCUCUAAAUACAUGCUUAGCCUGGACGGUCCCUCCAUCCCUCAUCAUCAUCAUCCAAAUAUCUCGAAGCAAGGGAUGGUCGCAGUCGGCAGCCCUCGGACCUCCUGGAUCCAACUGAUGAUAGUGGCUGAGUCACCCUCCAAGGUGACUGAACUAGCUAGUAGCACUCGCCGAGUAUGUCAAAGGCCCGCCCAGGUAGCCCUCAGCUCCACACCGAGGAUCAUGAUGUCGAAUAACUGACAGCCGCCCACUUCCACUACCCUGAAAUUCGGAUCUCUGAUGACGAAACCCGCACCUUCCCUCAUGCCUCCAUCCAAAAUAGACCCUUUAAAGUUGACAUUGAGAAAACUUAGGAGUGGGGGCUCCAAGGUGAAAAACACCAUACGGAGUACUACCUUGGCAGAAUGGGAAUCUCAGAUAUUCUGAACUGUCAAAUGCCCUUCUGAGAAGGAAAUAUAACUAAUCUCCGCCGCUUGUGCCCGAGAGCUCUCCGCUACGAGCCUCGGCAAUAUGCUGUGCUCACCAGAAGUUCGAGCAUUCUUUGUUGCUGUGCAAGUCGCUCUAACAGCCUCCGACGUGUCAGUGGAUUGCCCAACCACCAACGGAUGGUCCGUAAGAACUAAUCCCUCUGACUCCAAACUUUCUAAGAUCCUCUGCCAACUGCCAAGUCAUCCUCAUCCAUGUGCACUGAAACAGUGUAUGGUCCAUCGUCUUGUCGACACCACACACUCCGGACUCUGAGAGAAUCCUCAAACCUUGUUUGCUGAGUACUGCUCUCAUCGGAAGCUGGUCUCAGACCACCUUCCAUAAGAAUAGUGCUAGCCUCGGGUGAAGGCCCAAGCGCUAGAUCCAAGCACACUCCGACCCCAUCUCCUGCUCCCGCCGGAGCACAUGGAAGAGAUCCCCCACCCUGACGCCGGUCCUGCAUGAGGUGCUUCAAACCUGAAUAUCUGGUCUCGCAUAUCCCAGUAUCGAAAGAGACCGGAUCCUGUCAGCAAGAUGUACUCCAAAAAAUUGACCCGGCCUGGCAUCGUCCCUUGCUUCCCCCCAAGGUCGAGGAGGUUGCACACCCACAGUCCUCCCACUGCCUCGACGUUAACUGUAGUCGGCCAGAGCCUAAAAGGGAGGGCACCACCCACGUGUCACUGGUCACAUCGAUGCUCUGCCAUCAUUAUCAGCCACCUAGUGUUUGCCAAAAUAGUUAGCAGGUACCUCAUGAUCUCUCACCACAUGAAGGAACAUCUGCCUCCACUCCAGGCCACCCCCUCAGGGCCCACCCGGCCAUAUCUAGUUGUCAUAAUCUGACUCUAGAAUCCCUGCGGCUCCAGCAUAAGUCGAACUACAUGUCGGGCAAUGAGCGCCUCACACCUCUCUAGGAGAAGCAACACCCCAAGGCCGCCCUCACUCAAGGGUAGGCAGACACUCUUCCAUGCCACCAAAUGCACCCUAUGUCCCCCUCCAUAUGACCCCCACAAGAAGUUGCAAAUUAGCCGCUCGAUCUCAUCAGCAUUGUCUUCGGUACCACCGUAUUUGCCAUGAGAUAGACGGGCAUGAAGCCUAGCACUGAUCUAAUCGAUGUCAAUCUGCCCAUCAUAGAGAGAGACAAUGUCCUCUAUCCCUCCAAUCUGCUCUAGACCCGCUGCAUCAGACCAGAGCACUCAGCCACCUGCAACCUCCUACCUAUGAUGGGUACACCCAGGUAGCUCCAAGUCUCAUCCUGCUCUGGCAUCUUCAGAAUUCUCUAGAUAUCUCGUCUAACCCUACGCUCCAAGCUAGGCUGAAGGAGAUGGUUUACUUCUGAAGGUUUACUCUCUGUCCUAACACUGCACAGUAAUCCACCAGCACACCCUUAAGGACCUUAGCAUCCGUUGCCCGCCCCUUGGCCAAAAAAAGACGGUCAUCAGCAAAGAGUAAAUGAGAGAUGGGUUGCAUCCCCAGGGCUAGAACGUAAGCCACCAACUCCCGGUUCGCACAUGUGGCCCAUAGCGCCCGAGAUAAGACAUCAGAGCAAAUAAUGAACAAAUACGGGGAUAAAGGACAUCCCUGUCUAAGCCCCAUGGUGGACUUGAAAAAGAGGGACAGUGUCCUGUUGACUAAGAUAGAAAAAUUUGGCCUCCGAACGCAUCUAAACACUCAAUCAAUCCAGAUCCCAUGAAAACCAAAAUAUUCUAAAGCUCGCCUUAAAAAGCUCUACCUGAUUCUAUCGUAAGCUUGGUUCAUGUCUAGCUUGAUAGCCAUUAAGCUUUGUCGCUUCAGAGCUCGCUGAAGAUCCCACAUCAAUUUUUGGGCUAACAUGACAUUGUUAGAAAUAUUUCUACCUCCCACAAAGGCACCUUGCUCCUGAUAGAUAAUAUCGGGUAGCAAGGGCUUCAUCCUGCCCACCAAUAUCCUUGCCAUGACUUUAUAUAGGGUUGCGCACAAGUUAAUGGGCCUAAAAUGGCUCGGCUCCGCCACAUCCUGGCACUUCGGUAUCAACAUGACAAAGGUGGCCUUCCGAUCCUUAGGCAUCAUUGCCCGACUGAAGAAGUACUAAACUGCCUCCACCAUAGCAACCCGGAUGAUACUCCAAUAUCUCCGAAAGAAGAAGGACAAAAAUUUAUCUGGUCCGAGAGCCUUAUCCUCUGCUAGAGCCUAGAUCGCCUCCUGCACUUCCCUUCCUGUCACUGGCAGAACUAAAAUCGCAUUCUCAAUGUUCCGAUCUCCCUCUCUGACCUACUGGAUCCUAGAUUUCUAUCUCUAGAAGAUCUCAUGCUAUCGCAAUAUUGAGUGAUGACUGGCAAGUAGUCUCGUAGGCUCAUCAUGUCAGCCUCCAGGAGCUCACCCCCUUGAUCUUCUCUCCUUUGAAGGUUAACAAUUGUGGCCUCCAUCUCUCCCAACUUUCUGAAAAUGUUGCCCACGACCUCAUGGUUCCAUCGGCAAAGCCGCCUCUUAGUUAGCUCCAAUUUAUGUGAAACCCUCUGCAUAGCAUUGUCGUGCACUAGCAAGCUCCAGGCCCCUCGAACAAUGUCCCAAGAUUGAGGGUAAGACAACCAUACCUUCUCAAAGCAGAAGGAGCAGUGAUGGCUAGAACCCGUGGCAGUUGAAAUCAGCAAUGGGCAGUGGUCAAAAGCAAUACGAGAUAAAUGGCUGACCCGAUAGGUAGGAAACCACAUGAUCUAAUCAGGGGUCAUGAUGGCCCUAUCUAUUCGCUCCCAUACCCUUUAUUUAUCGGACUGGUUGUUACACCAGGUGAACUGCGGCCCGAAGAAGCCUAGGUCUACUAGGUCAUUUUCAUAUUGAAGAUGUCUCCGCCAACUACUCAAUGCCAUAUAUCAAAUUCCAUCUUUCCAAUUUAUGCAAGCACUGCACAAUAUCGUGGAGAGCCCAAAAAUAGACAUAACUCAAAAAGUUAGUGUUGCCUAUUUGAGAGACCAUGCAUUUUCUUUUCUUUUCUUUUCUUUCUAGCAAAGGAGACCAUGCAUUAUUUUUGGAUCACAUCCUAUAUAUUCUUCUUCAAACUCUAAAGCACAUGUCUGCUUUAUGAAUACAACCAAACUCUGCAAUUAUAAAACUGAUGGAUCACCAAUAGAAAAUGAAAUCUUGAUGAAAACUCUAACAUCACUGUAACAAAAUUAGAGUUUUGAUAGAAUAAAUAUGCUCUAGGGCACCACAUCAAACAAAUUCAUUUUAAUAAUUCUUGGCUAAGAUAUCACAUGAGGUAAAAUAUUAUGCCUUUGAUCUAAAUUUGCGAGCCAGGGACAUGGCAAUUGCUCCAUACUUAUAGGAAACUCUUCCCACAAGCAUAUAAGGCAUUCCAUCAUGAUAUCACAAGUCAGCAGAAUAAAUAACUAAAGUUCAAACUUUAAAUUUUAAUAACUAAAAUCCAAACUUUCACAAUAAUACAUUAAUAUCCAAAGUCUUAGAAUUUCAUAUAUCAAACCAGCAACAAACUGUUGACAAAAUGAUUGAUUUUGAUGAGUAUAAAAUGUUUGACUAUGAUACUAAUAAUUAUGUAUUCUUAGAGCAUUUAAGUUGUUUUGUAGGGAAGCUAAAUAAAUUAGAAGUGAUUUGAAUGCUUGGAGAUACAUUAGAGUUAAAUUUUCCAAGUUGUAAAAAGUUUUCACAAGAUUAGUGGAGUUCUACAUGAAAAGAGUUGACCCCACAUUGAGUGGAGUCACAAGCUUAUUAAGAAGUCGAUCACAACACAUAGGAGUUCUACAGGAAAAGAGUCUUGGGAGUCAAUCCCAGGUUUAGUGGAGUUGACCUCAACAUUCAAAGAGUCGAUCGCAAGGAGUCGACUGGUGCCCAAGAAUCAACCCCAAUCACACAGAAG